UGAUCUUCCACUGAACUCAAGCACUAAGCAUGUAUUUAAUGUCGUAAUAUAUUCAGAUUGGCACUAUUUGUGAGCAUAAAUCUUCAGAAAAGAUCCAAUCUGUGAACAUCUUGUUUUAUGCCUGACAUGUUACGUAAUGCUUUGGCAAGCUUGACACUUCUAGUCAAUACCAGAGACUGGCACAACCAGAUAAUCCACCCAGAAUAUAAAGAACUUGUUGUCGCCAUCAACCAAUAUACAUCUGGUUAUGUGAUAAAAUGUGCAUUUAUUUUUGACCAAGGAAUUUGAAAUAAGCCUGCCUACCAAAAACCAAGCUCCUUCAUACCAGAUAUAGAUACAGUUUAAGAAAUUAUGUAGCAUAUUCAUUAUGUUCAUUCUCUGCAAAGUUUUGUAAAUGCUAUGACAGGCAACUAAGAGCCUGUUGAAUAUAGCCUAUUUUUGUAAAAAGUGACUCAUUUUGUUUGUUAACUGAUGUAUCAGGGCUUCAGAUGACAAGUUAGGAAAACUUUCAAACCCAGAGUGGUUCCAUGAUAACUUAGUUAGACAAAACAGUAUCUAUGUUCUAAAUCUAAGAAUAAGUUUUUUCUUUCAGGAUCAUUUUUCAUCCAAUCAACAAAACAGAUUAUAAAGUAAUUGAGUUAAAAAUAUCUGCUGGGGCACCCGGUCAGAUAUAUGAAGAUGGGCAGCAAAAGCUGUACCUGUUUUCAGACAAUGAGGUACUAGGCCCACUAUGGCCUCUAGAAAUACAGCAUUUAGUAAAGAAGAGAUUUCAAGAGAGUUUAAAAUCAUUUACUGGACUAGAGAGCUAUACAACACCUGCACUAGCCAAAAGACAAAAACAAUGCACCUAACGUAAAUUGAAAAGUACACUUUUUUAAAUGUGAUUUAAAAUUAUAUUUUUGUCUUAUCUAUUUGUUCUUGUAUUUGCUAAAAACUUUGUUUCCAUAUUA